rnacentral:rRNA from 1 species
AGUGAACGCUGGCGGUAGGCCUAACACAUGCAAGUCGAACGGCAGCACAGUAAGAGCUUGCUCUUACGGGUGGCGAGUGGCGGACGGGUGAGGAGUACAUCGGAAUCUACUUUUUCGUGGGGGAUAACGUAGGGAAACUUACGCUAAUACCGCAUACGACCUACGGGUGAAAGCAGGGGAUCUUCGGACCUUGCGCGAUUGAAUGAGCCGAUGUCGGAUUAGCUAGUUGGCGGGGUAAAGGCCCACCAAGGCGACGAUCCGUAGCUGGUCUGAGAGGAUGAUCAGCCACACUGGAACUGAGACACGGUCCAGACUCCUACGGGAGGCAGCAGUGGGGAAUAUUGGACAAUGGGCGCAAGCCUGAUCCAGCCAUACCGCGUGGGUGAAGAGGGCCUUCGGGUUGUAAAGCCCUUUUGUUGGGAAAGAAAAGCAGCAGGUUAAUACCCCGCUGUUCUGACGGUACCCAAAGAAUAAGCACCGGCUAACUUCGUG